rnacentral:rRNA from 2 species
AGGGAUUGCCUUAGUAACGGCGAGUGAAGCGGCAAUAGCUCAAAUUUGAAAGCUGGCCCCUUCGGGGUCCGCGUUGUAAUUUGUAGAGGAUGAUUCGGCGAGGGCUCCCGUCUAAGUCCCUUGGAACAGGGCGUCAUAGAGGGUGAGAAUCCCGUAUGUGAUGGGCUGCCUUAGCCAUGUGAAUCUCCUUCGACGAGUCGAGUUGUUUGGGAAUGCAGCUCUAAAUGGGAGGUAAAUUUCUUCUAAAGCUAAAUACCGGCCAGAGACCGAUAGCGCACAAGUAGAGUGAUCGAAAGAUGAAAAGCACUUUGGAAAGAGAGUUAAAAAGUACGUGAAAUUGUUGAAAGGGAAGCGCUUGCAGCCAGACUUGUCCGCAGUUGCUCAGCUUGUCUCCUGACAGGCGUACUCUUCUGCGGCCAGGCCAGCAUCAGUUCGGGCGGUCGGAUAAAGACCUGGGGAAUGUAGCUCCUCUCGGGGAGUGUUAUAGCCCUGGGUGCAAUGCGGCCAGCCUGGACUGAGGAUCUCGCUUCGGCUAGGAUGCUGGCGUAAUGGCUGUAAGCGGCCCGUCUUGAAACACGGACCAAGGAGUCUAACAUCUAUGCGAGUGUUUGGGUGUCAAACCCAUGCGCGUAAUGAAAGUGAACGGAGGUGGGAACCCUCACGGGUGCACCAUCGACCGAUCCUGAUGUCUUCGGAUGGAUUUGAGUAAGAGCAUAGCUGUUGGGACCCGAAAGAUGGUGAACUAUGCCUGAAUAGGGUGAAGCCAGAGGAAACUCUGGUGGAGGCUCGCAGCGGUUCUGACGUGCAAAUCGAUCGUCAAAUUUGGGUAUAGGGGCGAAAGACUAAUCGAACCAUCUAG